CAUAGGUUUUGGACAACGUGGCAGCCAAUGGCAAUGAUUCUGUGCAAUGACUGACUGCAAAAAUGCCACUCCCCCCCCCAUGAUGGCGACCGAUGACAAUUCAGAUUACACGAGUCAUGUACCCUGACUGGGUCGUGUGGCUUUACACUAAUCCUCGCGGCCGGAAAAUGUCCUCUGCCCACUCCUGCGUGAUUUUCCUCACUUCUACAUCUGUGACGUCACCAACUUGCCUUUGCUGGGAAAUGUGACUUCAAUACACAACAUGGUUUGGAGAACGCUGCCUCUUGGUGACGAAAGAGUGUCUGCCUUUUUCGUCCGAGACACCGACUCGCUUCUCCUGGAACGAGGGC